rnacentral:rRNA from 1 species
AGCGAACGCUGGCGGCAGGCUUAACACAUGCAAGUCGAGCGGGCAUCUUCGGAUGUCAGCGGCAGACGGGUGGGUAACACGUGGGAACGUACCCUUCGGUUCGGAACAACUCUGGGAAACUGGAGCUAAUACCGGAUACGCCCUUAGGGUGAAAGGUUUACUGCCGAAGGAUCGGCCCGCGUCUGAUUAGCUAGGUGGUGGGGUAACGGCCUACCAAGGCGACGAGCAGUAGCUGGGCUGAGAGGCUGAUCAGCCACACCCGGACUGAGACACGGACCAGACUCCUACGGGAGGCAGCAGUAGGGAAUAUUGGGCAAUGGGCGCAAGCCUGACACAGCCAUGCCGCGUGAGUGAUGACGGCCUUAGGGUUGUAAAGCUCUUUUGUCCGGGACGAUAAUGACGGUACCGGAAGAAUAAGCCCCGGCUAACUUCGUG